rnacentral:rRNA from 1 species
GUAGGGAAUCUUCCGCAAUGGACGCAAGUCUGACGGAGCAACGCCGCGUGAGUGACGAAGGUUUUCGGAUCGUAAAACUCUGUUGUGAGGGAAGAACACGUACCAGGUAACUACUGGUACCUUGACGGUACCUCACCAGAAAGCCACGGCUAACUACGUGCCAGCAGCCGCGGUAAUACGUAGGUGGCAAGCGUUGUCCGGAAUUAUUGGGCGUAAAGCGCGCGCAGGCGGUCCUUUAAGUCUGAUGUGAAAGCCCACGGCUCAACCGUGGAGGGUCAUUGGAAACUGGAGGACUUGAGUGCAGAAGAGGAAAGUGGAAUUCCAUGUGUAGCGGUGAAAUGCGUAGAGAUGUGGAGGAACACCAGUGGCGAAGGCGACUUUCUGGUCUGUAACUGACGCUGAGGCGCGAAAGCGUGGGGAGCAA